GGAACACCAGGCAAAUACUAACCAAAAAUAAAAUAUGGUGGAGGGAUAUUGACAGGAAAGAAAACAGACUUCAAGGGAAAAACACUGCUGUGGGGUAGAAAGCUUUUCUAUUAGCUGUGUGACCUACUUUCCCUUUCCCGAGGCGACCUCUCUAUUUGCGCUUUUAUCUCUGCCUGGAAGAACGUUGGUGGGCUGGCAUCGUAUUAUCUCUGCUAUCGAAAGCACAAGGAAUUGUAGUUGGCCACUAGGGGGAGCCUCAUUCACGGAUCUUAUGGAAUCAAGUUUAGGAGGAGCAAGUGUCGCCACGUCUAGGCUUCCUGGGCACUUUGACACCAUCCAGGCUUCUUGUGAGGAGGAGUAUCAACAGCUGUGCCCACUGAGAGGCUUUCAGAUGCAGCAUCCACCAAGGAAUACACCGACUAACACACAUGACGGCCUGAACUAGCAACCUGCAUCAACACCCCUGCAGACAAGCAGUGCAUUUCAACUGCUCAUUUAA
rnacentral:lncRNA from 1 species